UACAGAGGUCUCAAGCGUUGUUCGGAUUCAUUGGGCGUAAAGGGUGCGUAGGUGGCGUCGUAAGUCAGGUGUGAAAUCCCGGGGCUCAACCCCGGAACUGCAUUUGAAACUGCCUUGCUCGAGUACUGGAGAGGAGACUGGAAUUUACGGUGUAGCAGUGAAAUGCGUAGAUAUCGUAAGGAAGACCAGUGGCGAAGGCGAGUCUCUGGACAGUUACUGACACUGAGGCACGAAGGCCAGGGGAGCAAACGGG
rnacentral:rRNA from 1 species